rnacentral:rRNA from 1 species
ACAUGCAAGUCGAACGAGAAUCUGCGGAACGAGGAUUCGUCCAAGUGAAGCAGAGGACAGUGGCGGACGGGUGAGUAACGCGUGAGGAACCUGCCUUUCAGAGGGGGACAACAGUUGGAAACGACUGCUAAUACCGCAUGACACAUAGAUGUCGCAUGGCAUUUAUGUCAAAGAUUUAUCGCUGAAAGAUGGCCUCGCGUCUGAUUAGCUAGUUGGUGAGGUAACGGCCCACCAAGGCGACGAUCAGUAGCCGGACUGAGAGGUUGAACGGCCACAUUGGGACUGAGAUACGGCCCAGACUCCUACGGGAGGCAGCAGUGGGGAAUAUUGGGCAAUGGGCGCAAGCCUGACCCAGCAACGCCGCGUGAAGGAAGAAGGCUUUCGGGUUGUAAACUUCUUUUGUCAGGGACGAGUAGAAGACGGUACCUGACGAAUAAGCCACGGCUAACUACGUGCCAGCAGCCGCGGUAAUACGUAGGUGGCAAGCGUUGUCCGGAUUUACUGGGUGUAAAGGGCGUGUAGCCGGGAGGGCAAGUCAGAUGUGAAAUCCACGGGCUCAACUCGUGAACUGCAUUUGAAACUACUCUUCUUGAGUAUCGGAGAGGCAAUCGGAAUUCCUAGUGU